CCUACGGGAGGCUGCAGUGAGGAAUAUUGGGCAAUGGGCGCGAGCCUGACCCAGCAAAGUAGCGUGAAGGAUUACUGGCCUUCGGGUUGUAAACAUCUUUUAUAAAGGACUAAAGUGAGACACGUGUGCCUUUUUGUAUGAACUUUAUGACUAAGGAUCUGCUAACUACGUGCCAGCAGCCGCGGUAAUACGUAGGUUCCGAGCGUUAUCCGGCUGUAUUGUGUUUAAAGGGAGCGUAGAUGGGUUGUUAAGUCAGUUGUGAAUGUUUGCGGCUCAACCUGACGAUUGCACUUGAUACUGGGAGUCUUGAGUACAGUUGAGGUAGGAGGAAUUCGUGGUGUAGCGGUGAAAUGCUUAGAUAUCACGAAGAACUCCGAUUGCGAAGGCAGCUUACUAAACUGCCACUGACAUUGAUGCUCGAAAGUGUGGGUAUCAAACAGGAUUAGAUACCCUGGUAGUC
rnacentral:rRNA from 1 species